CAGACGAACGCUGGCGGCGUGCCUAAUACAUGCAAGUCGAACGCUUUUUCUUUCACCGGAGCUUGCUCCACCGAAAGAAAAAGAGUGGCGAACGGGUGAGUAACACGUGGGUAACCUGCCCAUCAGAAGGGGAUAACACUUGGAAACAGGUGCUAAUACCGUAUAACACUAUUUUCCGCAUGGAAGAAAGUUGAAAGGCGCUUUUGCGUCACUGAUGGAUGGACCCGCGGUGCAUUAGCUAGUUGGUGAGGUAACGGCUCACCAAGGCCACGAUGCAUAGCCGACCUGAGAGGGUGAUCGGCCACACUGGGACUGAGACACGGCCCAGACUCCUACGGGAGGCAGCAGUAGGGAAUCUUCGGCAAUGGACGAAAGUCUGACCGAGCAACGCCGCGUGAGUGAAGAAGGUUUUCGGAUCGUAAAACUCUGUUGUUAGAGAAGAACAAGGAUGAGAGUAGAACGUUCAUCCCUUGACGGUAUCUAACCAGAAAGCCACGGCUAACUACGUGCCAGCAGCCGCGGUAAUACGUAGGUGGCAAGCGUUGUCCGGAUUUAUUGGGCGUAAAGCGAGCGCAGGCGGUUUCUUAAGUCUGAUGUGAAAGCCCCCGGCUCAACCGGGGAGGGUCAUUGGAAACUGGGAGACUUGAGUGCAGAAGAGGAGAGUGGAAUUCCAUGUGUAGCGGUGAAAUGCGUAGAUAUAUGGAGGAACACCAGUGGCGAAGGCGGCUCUCUGGUCUGUAACUGACGCUGAGGCUCGAAAGCGUGGGGAGCGAACAGGAUUAGAUACCCUGGUAGUCCACGCCGUAAACGAUGAGUGCUAAGUGUUGGAGGGUUUCCGCCCUUCAGUGCUGCAGCAAACGCAUUAAGCACUCCGCCUGGGGAGUACGACCGCAAGGUUG
rnacentral:rRNA from 1 species